UUUUUUUUUUUUUUCUAAUUUUUGGUUGGUGGCGGCGGUGCUGGGCCAGGGGAAGGAAGGGACACGGAGGCCGCCCUCGCCCCGCCACCUCCUACCAGCUUCCCCCCAGCCCCGGCUCCGGGAGAUGUGCCGGGCGGGGGGCCCGGGUUCGCCGAGCCGCAGGAGAGACACGCUGGGCCGACCCCAGAGCGGCGCUGGACAGGGAAGUGGGCGGAGCGAGGCCUGGGUAGGGUGAGCGGCCUCCGAAGCGGAGCGGGGCUCUGAGGAGACACUUUUUCUUCCUCCCUCCUUCCCUCCUCUCCUCCUGCCUUCCCUUCCCCUUUCCUCCCCUCUCUCCUCCUUCUCCCCUCGGUCAGCCGGAGCCUGCUGGGGCGAGCGGUUGGUAUUGCAGGCGCUUACUCUCCGGGGCCGCCCGGCGAGUAGCUGGCCGGGGAAGGAGGCAGGAACCGCGAUGGCGCCUCAGAAGCACGGCGGUGGGGGAGGGGGCGGCUCGGGGCCCAGCGCGGGGUCCGGGGGAGGCGGCUUCGGGGGUUCGGCGGCGACGGCUUCGAGCGGCAAAUCCGGCGGCGGGGGCUGUGGAGGCGGUGGCAGUUACUCGGCCUCCUCCUCCUCCGCGGCGUUACCGGUGAAGAAGUCGAAAAUGGAGCACGUCCAGGCUGACCACGAGCUUUUCCUCCAGGCCUUUGAGAAGCCAACACAGAUCUAUAGAUUUCUUUGAACUCGGAAUCUCAUAGCACCAAUAUUUUUGCACAGAACUCUUACUUACAUGUCUCAUCGAAACUCCAGAACAAACAUCAAAAGGUAUACUUGAAUACCUACCAAGUAGAAGGCACUAUGCCAGCACUGCAUAGCUUUCCUUGAAGAAGAGCAAUUACUGCCCUUCAGGAGUGUAUAAUCUAGUAGGAGAAAUAAAAUAUUUACAUGAGUUUUACAUGUAGGAAACUGAAUGAAGAAAACAUUUAAAGUUGAUGAUAUGUUAUCAAAAGUAGAGAAAAUGAAAGGAGAGCAAGAAUCUCAUAGCUUGUCAGCUCAUUUGCAGCUUACAUUUUUGGUUUCUUCCACAAAAAUGAUAAGCCAUCACCAAACUCAGAAAAUGAACAAAAUUCUGUUACCCUGGAAGUCCUGCUUGUGAAAGUUUGCCACAAAAAAAGAAAGGAUGUAUGUUGUCCAAUAAGGCAAGUUCCCACAGGUAAAAAGCAGGUGCCUUUGAAUCCUGACCUCAAUCAAACAAAACCUGGAAAUUUCCCGUCCCUUGCAGUUUCCAGUAAUGAAUUUGAACCUAGUAACAGCCACAUGGUGAAGUCUUACUCGUUGCUAUUUAGAGUGACUCGUCCAAGAAGAAGAGAGUUUAAUGGAAUGAUUAAUGGAGAAACCAUGAAAAUAUUGGUAUGUCAGUGAAGAGCUUCCAGCCAGAAGAAAAUGAAAUCGUGAGGAUGGGGAAAAGACAUUUGUUGCACAAAUGACAGUAUUUGAUAAAAACAGGUAAUGUUGAUGAACAAGCGAGGCUCCCACAAUGUUCUGGAAAUGUUUUCAUUCUGAAGCAGAAUA
rnacentral:lncRNA from 1 species